rnacentral:ribozyme from 1 species
UAUUUUUAUGUUAAUUUUUUUUCUUCUGUAAUUUCUUCGAAUUCCAAUCGAGCAUGAAUCAUGGAGUGCGCCUCAUGCACUCGAUGUUAUUUAUAUUGUACAUGUGUCUGUGUGUGUG